UCUCUCCCCUCAAACUUGCCCAUACGUACUCCUCACCCACUCCACCAUAUAAGGCUUUUUGAGGAAGCAAGUUGGAGUUGGCUGUCUCUCUCACUCUCUCUCUUAGGCUCCCUUUUUCCCCUUUGGAUCCCUACCUCUGGGAGCAAGAUCAAGCAAGGAAGCAGCAGUUUUUCCUCUCUUCUCCAAGCCAUUUUCCGUCGUUUCCUCCUUCAACUGGCGGUCACCAACCUCAGCAAAGGACCUUAGUGAACGUCGAUCCGUCGAUCCCGGAGGCCGUGGGCGAUCGUGAGGCGUCCCACCUUUCUGAUUCAGGGCAGCAAGGCAAGCAUCGUUCAUAUUGCACCGUGUCUACUUGAAAUUUUAAUAUGUUAUCUACGCUUAUGUAUACAUUGCAUGUGUCGGGUACUGAGUUGGGUAGAACCUAUACCGAUGCAUUAUCCCAUUUCGGUCACGUGUCAUGUGUUGUUCCUAGGAGCCUAGUGGUGUCAUCGAGGUCUAAUUUUAGUUCGCUAUGCUUAGUGGUACUUAGGCUUUCCGGUAGAAGUCGACGACGGCGUCCACCGUUGUCGCGAGCCUAGGACUUAUUACUUGUUCGCACUUAUGGUUGUGUUGAUGAUGAGUCGGUUUGGUGAGUGGUGAGUUGAGACGAGGUGUGGGCGGUGUUAGGGGUGUCAUCUGCUCACGAGGAGUCCUCAGGCAGUUCGGGGAGGGAACCCGGACACCGUAGACCGCUUGCACCGGUUAAGCACCGAUUAUCGGUGUAGUCGGCUUUAGCACAUACCUUACUCACCACAUGCUGAUAUAAUGGUAGGCGAGCCGAUUACCUUCGCAGACGUGGUCAUGUGGGCCUCGUCAUAGACGGUGUGAGUCCGGUUUGAGUCCGGGCUUUUAGCGGUAUUAGUUUGCUCGGGGAGUAGUUCUAAUACCGCCGUGCCGAGCUAUGGUUGAUCCACAUGGUUGGGCCUGGUUGGGAAAGGUUGUCACGGGUACCCCCUUGUGCGCAUCUUAGCGGGUGGCACAAGCCGUAUGGUCCCUGUGUCGUGUGGGUCCAGGAGUAUCCCCCUGCAGGGUGUAUUAUCAGUUCGAACUG